GNGNUGAUCUUUCCAUGGACGCAGUCUGACGAAGCAACGCCGCGUGAGUGAGGAAGGCCCUUUGGGUUGUAAAGCUCUGUUGCCGGGGAANAAAGNUAGUGUAAGGAAAUGUGCAUUAAUUGACGGUACCCGGNGAGGAAGCACUGGCUAACUACGUGCCAGCAGCCGCGGUAAUACUGUAGAGUGCAAGCCGUUGUCCGGAAUCAUUGGGCGUAAAGGGUACGGAGGCNGGAUAUACAAGUCAAAUGUGAAAGGUGUAGGCUUAACCUACAGACUGCGUUUGAAACUGUAUAUCUUGAGAGCAUNANAAGAAGGCGGAAUUCCUGGUGUAAGUGAGUGAAAUACCGUAGAUAUCAGGAAGAACACCAGUGGGCGAAGGCGGUCUUCUGGGCUGCAUCUGACGCUNAUGUACCAAAGCUGUGGGUAGCGAACNGGAUUAGAUACCCUGGUAGUCCCAGCUGUAAACGAUGGACACUAGGUGCUGGAGNCNNAAAUNCUNNANUGCCGGANUUAACCCAUUAAGUGUNCCANCUGGGGAANNCCGGCCGAAGANUUAAACUNAAAGGNAUUUNNUGGNGCCC
rnacentral:rRNA from 1 species